GGAAUCUUGCGCAAUGGGCGAAAGCCUGACGCAGCAACGCCGCGUGGGUGAUGAAGGUCUUCGGAUUGUAAAACCCUGUCGUUAGGGACGAAGGCAUGAAUCCUAAUACGAUUCAUGUUUGACGGUACCUAGAAAGGAAGCCCCGGCUAACUCUGUGCCAGCAGCCGCGGUAAUACAGAGGGGGCAAGCGUUAUUCGGAAUUAUUGGGCGUAAAGGGUGCGUAGGCGGUUUUUUAAGUCAGAUGUGUAAUCCCCGGGCUCAACUUGGGAACUGCAUCUGAAACUGGAAGACUAGAGUGCUGGAGAGGAUGGUGGAAUUCCACGUGUAGCGGUGAAAUGCGUAGAGAUGUGGAGGAACACCAGUGGCAAAGGCGGCCAUCUGGACAGUAACUGACGCUGAAGCACGAAAGUGUGGGUAGCAAACAGGAUUAGAUACCCUGGUAGUCCACACCGUAAACGAUGAACACUUGGUGUGGUGGGCGUUGACCCCCACUGUGCCGUAGCUAACGCGAUAAGUGUUCCGCCUGGGGAGUACGGUCGCAAGGCUGAAACUCAAAUGAAUUGACGG
rnacentral:rRNA from 1 species